rnacentral:lncRNA from 10 species
AUACAAUUCAGCAUCCUCUGGGUGUUCAGGUAAGUCUGAAUUUAAGUUCCAGAAAUGAGUGAGAUUCCUAGGAUGACUCUGAAUUAUCUUGACUUCCCUGAAUGCUUCUGGCUAAAAACCAAGCUGGGAUUAUUGAUGUGAUUGUGAAUCUGGCCCAUGUCCUGGGAAUGUGGAUUCUGCUGCAUAUGUCAAUUGGUUUGGCUCUUUUUUUUUUUUUUUUUUUUUUUUGAGACAGUUUCACCCUUGUGCCUGGGCAGCAAGGGCGUAACUCUCUCUCAAAAAAAAAAAAAAGCUGGGCACGGUGGCUCACGCCUGUAAUCCCAACACUUUGGGAGGCCGAGGUGGGCGCAUCACGAGGUCAGGAGAUCAAGACCAUCCUGGCUAACACGGUGAAACCCCAUCUCUACUAAAAAUACAAAAAAUUAGCGGGGAAUGGUGUCGGGCGCCUUAGUCCCAGCUACUCGGGAGGUUGAGGCAGGAGAAUGGCAUGAACCUGGGAGGUGGAGCUUGCAGUGAGCCGAGAUCAAGCCACUGCACUGCACUCCAGCCUGGGAGAGAGCGAGACUCUGUC